rnacentral:rRNA from 1 species
UGUGUAGGCGGCUUGAUAAGUCAGAGGUGAAAUCUGUCGGCUUAACCGGCAAAUUGCCUCUGAAACUGUCUUGCUUGAGUCCGAGAGAGGAAGGUGGAAUUCCUGGUGUAGCGGUGAAAUGCGUAAAUAUCAGGAGGAACACCGGUGGCGAAGGCGGCCUUCUGGCUCGGUACUGACGCUGAGGCACGAAAGCCAGGGGAGCGAACG